rnacentral:rRNA from 1 species
UACGUAGGGGGCAAGCGUUAUCCGGAUUUACUGGGUGUAAAGGGGGCGCAGACGGCAAUGCAAGCCAGGAGUGAAAGCCCGGGGCCCAACCCCGGGACUGCUCUUGGAACUGCAUGGCUGGAGUACAGGAGGGGCAGGCGGAAUUCCUAGUGUAGCGGUGAAAUGCGUAGAUAUUAGGAGGAACACCGGUGGCGAAGGCGGCCUGCUGGACUGUGACUGACGUUGAGGCCCGAAGGCGUGGGGAGCGAACAGG